GAUGAACGCUGGCGGCGUGCCUAAUACAUGCAAGUCGAGCGAACGGACGAGAAGCUUGCUUCUCUGAUGUUAGCGGCGGACGGGUGAGUAACACGUGGAUAACCUACCUAUAAGACUGGGAUAACUUCGGGAAACCGGAGCUAAUACCGGAUAAUAUUUUGAACCGCAUGGUUCAAAAGUGAAAGACGGUCUUGCUGUCACUUAUAGAUGGAUCCGCGCUGCAUUAGCUAGUUGGUAAGGUAACGGCUUACCAAGGCAACGAUGCAUAGCCGACCUGAGAGGGUGAUCGGCCACACUGGAACUGAGACACGGUCCAGACUCCUACGGGAGGCAGCAGUAGGGAAUCUUCCGCAAUGGGUGCAAGCCUGACGGAGCAACGCCGCGUGAGUGAUGAAGGUCUUCGGAUCGUAAAACUCUGUUAUUAGGGAAGAACAUAUGUGUAAGUAACUGUGCACAUCUUGACGGUACCUAAUCAGAAAGCCACGGCUAACUACGUG
rnacentral:rRNA from 1 species